rnacentral:rRNA from 1 species
GGAGUACGCACGCAAGUGUGAAACUCAAAGGAAUUGACGGGACCCCGCACAAGCGGUGGAUUAUGUUGUUUAAUUCGACGCAACGCGAAGAACCUUACCAGGCCUUGACAUACCCAGCAAAGCUAUAGAGAUAUAGUGGAGGUUAUCUGGGAUACAGGUGGUGCAUGGUUGUCGUCAGCUCGUGUCGUGAGAUGUUGGGUUAAGUCCCGCAACGAGCGCAACCCUUGUCUUUAGUUACCAUCAUUAAGUUGGGGACUCUAGAGAGACUGCCGGUGAUAAACCGGAGGAAGGUGGGGAUGACGUCGAAUCAUCAUGCCCCUUAUGGCCUGGGCUACAAACGUAAUACAAUGGCGUAUACAAAGGGAUGCGAAGUGGUGACAUGGAGCAAAACUCAUAAAGUACGUCUCAGUUCGGAUUGAAGUCUGCAACUCGACUUCAUGAAGCUGGAAUCGCUAGUAAUCGCGGAUCAGCAUGCCGCGGUGAAUACGUUCUCGGGGUUUGUACACACCGCCCGUCAAACCAUGAGAGUUGAUAAUACCCGAAGCCGGUGGCCUAACCGUAAGGAAGGAGCCGUCGAAGGUAGGAUCGAUGAUUGGGGUUAAGUCGUAACAAGGUA